UCGUAGUGUAACGGUAGCACACUUGGCUCGUAUUCGAGAGGUCCAGGUUCGAGUUCCGGCGA
rnacentral:tRNA from 1 species